GGGGAAGUCAUUAUCUACGGAUGGACUGAGUAUCUCAGAUUCUUCAAGCUCCUGGGCAUGAGGUGACCUCACUUGAAAAGAAUGGACUUCCUCCCACAUCAGCGUCAAGUGGAGCCGAGAGGGAGGAGCAGCAGGAGCAGGAAGAAAAGGGGAGCUUUGAAAGCUUACAGAGCUGGCCGGAAGGACCUGGCAGAAGUGGUGGGCCUGAUGCCCCUUUCGCAAAGCUCCUCGGGGAGGCUGUCUUAUAAGGGAUGCUUCCAUCACUUGUCAUCUCAAGACUCCCCUGGGGAGGCGUGCAAGACAGCAUCUGCUAGAGUCCGCCAGCAAUGCAGGAAGCCUGUGGAAGGUGCUCCUCUCACCACGACUCCAGCACUUUCCCUGGCUCUUCUGACCCAGCGCACUCUACCUUUGGCCUCCACUCUGCCAGCAGAACCUCCAUCGGCCUUGACCAGAACUCCACUCGGCCCUGUUGCCAUGAGCUCAGCUCCAGGUCACUCCCGUUGGCCGUUUCCCAACUCAGGCCAUGGCCUCAUGAGCCGCCGCCUUGAGUUCCUCUCCCGGUGGAACAUGAUCAAGCAUCAAGUGGAGCCGAGAGGGAGGAGCAGCAGGAGCAGGAAGAAAAGGGGAGCUCUGAAAGCUUACAGAGCUGGCCAGAAGGACCCGGCAGAAGUGGGGGGCCUGAUGCCCCUUUCGCAAAGCUCCCCGGGGAGGCUGUCUUGUAAGGGAUGCUUCCAUCGCUUGUCAUCUCGAGAUUCCCCUGGGGAGGCGUGCAAGGCAGCAUCUGCUAGAGUCCGCCAGCAAUGCAGGAAGCCUGUGGAAGGUGCUCCUCUCACCAUGACUCCAGCACUUUCCCUGGCUCUUCUGACCCAGCGCACUCUACCUUUGGCCUCCACUCUGCCAGCAGAACCUUCAUCUGACUUGACCAGAACUCCACUCAGCCCUGUUGCCACGAGCUCAGCUCCAGGUCACUCCCAUUGGCCGUUUCCCAACUCAGGCCACGGCCGCAUGAGCUGUCACAUUGAGUUCCUCUCCCGGUGGAACAUGAUCGAGGUCUUGUUCUUCCCUGUGUCAUCACACUUUGAGUCUCAGCAAGGGCACCUGUCCUGCCACCGACCAGUGGCCUCACUCUGGGGAGGCCCCACAAACAGGGAGGGAGAGACUGAUAGCCCCUCAGUUGCCAACCCUGAGGUGCCGAAGCCACUCGAGACAGAAAUCACGGAAAGCAUACAAACGGAGGUCUGGGAAAAAGAACCAGAUGAUCCAGGCACUCCUCAGAUGCUCGAAGCACACGGUAUCAUGUCUGGGCUGAAUUUCCGCUGGGGCAUACCCCUCCUGUCCUUGGAGCCUGCAGAUCUGAAAGCAUGUGAGGCUCAACCCUCGGCCCUUCCACGGUCCCCUUUGCCCCCUGCAGCCACCUGUGAUUCUGGGGCCCCCUCGAAAGCUGACUUUGCACCCUUCAUGGGAAAACCUCUUGAGCCUCCUCCAGGUGACCAGGUCUUAACUUUGAUGACAAAACCAUCAGUUCCCAGGCUGGUCCGUCCCCUCCCCGCUCCCUCACCUGUGUGUGAGGAAGAUCAGAAGGCCCUGGGAGGGACCCUACCUGGGGAAGGCAGUGGGCCCUCGGAAGCCUCUCUCUUGGGACAAGAGGGCCGGCCGCCUUCUCCAACCUUCCCAUUCAGCCUCUCAGAGAGGAAAGGGCAGAGUGGGACCUUCGUGGGGGCCUAGCAAGGCCGUCGAGAGCUGAGUUCAGGGUCCCCAGUGGCCAGGAAUGAGCCUCGGGAGGAGAGUCGGGGUGGGGCAUCAGCAGAGCCCUGCCGUGGGGUGGCAACACUGGAGGGGGAGUCAUGGUCCCAGUCUGGGAGCCAGGUCGGGGGAAUAGGAGACACCCUCGGGACCAAACCCCUCCAGCCCCUGCGUGAAAAGGAAGAGGUUUUUCACGACAGCCCUUUCAGAAAAAUGUUGAGACGCCUCCUGCCCUGCCUGAGGCCCAACAAGGAGGAAGCGCCAGAGGAUCCCCUUGCAAAGGCAAGCCCGCGUCAGCCACCGCCCAGAGCCAGGCACGGGUCACACAUAGCUCGGCGUCGGAUGGCGGGGCUGUUCAGGCGCCAUCGACAGUGACAUCCUUCGUCUGCGUCCCUGGAGAGAAACUGAGGCUUGCCGAGAACUUCUGGCCUCCCAGUCAAAGCAUCAUCAAAACCAUUUCAGGCCUGGGAAGCUGGACAUACCUGUUACCACGACGUUCCCUCCUCCCCAGACCAGAGAAGAACAAUGACAGAGGACAGUCCCCAACCUACCUCCAGGGACCACAACUGUCCGACUACCAGGGAAUGGAUCAGAACAGGCACGGCAACUGGACCUUGCCAUCCAGGCAGCCGCGGUCCCCAGCCAAACCCUGCCAGCCUGGGCUGAGGCUGGCAGCUGCCUCAGCCCCCAUCACCAGCCAUGCUGUCUUCAGAUACGUGUCUCCUGGGGUCAGUCAGACUGUGUCUGACAGACCUUGCCUCAUAGGAAGACUUGAUUCCCCAAAAGUGGAAGUGGAGGAACAGAAAACCUGGUUUUUCUCCUUAUCCCACCCUCUGUGCUAAUGGUGUCUUCCUACCCCAAUUUUCCCCAAAUACAUUUUUUUUCUCCUUAGAGGUCAUGGCUUCUGUCUGUGCCUUGCUAGUGGUAAAAAUGGGGGGUCAGGCUCCGCCCUCCCUGAGUGUCUGCUUUGGCUUCCAGAAGGGUCAGGGCCAUGGGGGGAAGCUGACUGCUGUGUGGCUCACGUGCCCUGACCCCAACUCCCUCAUUGCACCUGAAGUACCCAUCACGCCAUCCUUAGGAAAACAAAUGGAAGCUUUAGAAUAUUUCCAGAUGACCAAAACCUCUAGACCCCAGCCCAGGAUGGGCCCCGCCUGUCCUCUCCUGCGUUCUCUGGCCCUUGAGCUUCUGGGGCUGUAGGGAGGGCGUUUGCAGAGGCUCCAGGAAGUGUAGAGACAGAUUCACAGGUCACAGAGUGGGGGGGGGGGGGAGUGUGGGGCAGUGCUGGCCCUGAGUCCGGAGGGGGAAAGCUUGCCCCGCAUCUCGAGCUCUUGGUGGGAAUAGAUGACACUGCCCCGGGAGCUUCUUCUGUCCCUGCUGAAGCUGCCAUGGAGAUGGGCCUCUGCAACCCUCUCAGCCCAGCGUCACCCUCCCUCUUUCCUUGUCACAGUCUGGAACAGCAGCGACGACCAUGACUGAGCUCCAGCCUCUGAGGGUGGGCGGUUGGGGAGCACAGAGGCUGCUGCGGGGCUGUCCUCUCUGCCCAGAGGAGCACAGGGCCCUGCUCUCCUGCACCUGCCUUCUCCUCCUGGGGAAUGGAGCUGGGGGUGAGUGUGUGGCGGCAUGAUCUGAUGGUGGGACACUGUGCACCUAGGGUGGGACCUGGGAGAAGGAGACAAAGUGCCACCAGAGUUUAACCAUUUACCUAUUGAAGGACAGUUUUUGGUUUUAUAACUUUAUCCCCUAUGAAUAAAGCUGCUAUGAACUUCUUGUGAAGGUUUUUG
rnacentral:lncRNA from 1 species